UACGUAGGGAGCAAGCGUUGUCCGGAAUCAUUGGGCGUAAAGCGCGCGUAGGUGGCCCCAUAAGUCCGCUGUGAAAGUCAAAGGCUCAACCUUUGAAAGCCGGUGGAUACUGUGGGACUAGAGUACGGAAGAGGCGAGUGGAAUUCCUGGUGUAGCGGUGGAAUGCGCAGAUAUCAGGAGGAACACCAAUAGCGAAGGCAGCUCGCUGGGACGUUACUGACACUGAGGAGCGAAAGCAUGGGUAGCGAACAGG
rnacentral:rRNA from 1 species